AUGCCAUUAUGGGGACACUUUGUGAAUAACUCCUUGUACCACUCUCAUGCCUCAUGGAACUCUUCAUGUGGUUUUUGAGAAAAGACAAAAUUUCCCUCCUCAU